UAAAGUUGUUCUCAGUUCGGAUUGUAGUCUGCAACUCGACUACAUGAAGCUGGAAUCGCUAGUAAUCGUAGAUCAGCAUGCUACGGUGAAUACGUUCCCGGGUCUUGUACACACCGCCCGUCACACCACGAGAGUUUGUAACACCCGAAGCCGGUGGAGUAACCAUUUGGAGCUAGCCGUCGAAGGUGGGACAAAUGAUUGGGGUGAAGUCGUAACAAGGUAGCCGUAUCGGAAGGUGCGGCUGGAUCACCUCCUUU
rnacentral:rRNA from 1 species